GGGGCAGUUUUGCGAGAUCGAAGGCUAUAAGUCCGGCUGCUCUUCUCGUAUGCCUUCUCGAGAUUUUUCAUAGGUCAACUUUAUCAGCAUCUAACGUGUGCUCUUCGCCACUGGCAACGAUCUCGUGACCAUAAAUAAUACGAAAGGGAGUGAAGCCAGUCGACGAAUGACGAGUGUUAUUUAUUGUGUACUCUACUUCGGAAAUCCGAGUGUCCCAAAGACGUUGAUCGGAUUUUACCUUUUCAAUUUGCCUCGCAUCAACUUUCGGGUGAUCUAACAGCGCACCGAUGACCGUGAGUCUUGAAUUCAUCAUAGCGAUCUCUUCGGCGGCUGAUCUCCACGUUCUUGCAAAAGCGGUGAAUACCAAUCCCAUUUCUCUUUCCUCUUUCAUUCUAUCUUUUAAUUUCCUACGCUUAACACUUU